AUGAUACGAGCUAUUCGGUUGGUUUUGGUUGAUGUGUUGCACCGUCUCUGCUCAUGGCACGUGGAAAAAAACAUGCAGAAGCACCUUAAUUACAAAUCGCUAAGUGAGUUUAGGGCACUCUUGUACUACUCCACCUCUCCAGCCAACUUUGAGGCGAGAUGGCACGCUUUCGUUCGUAAAUGGAAGACUGAUAAAACAGAAGAGUGGUUGAGUAGGAUGUACAGGAAGAGGAGUCUGUGGGCAGCAUCAUAUCUGUCAGAUGGUUUUUUUCUGGGUAUGCGCAGUAAUCAGAGGAGUGAAAGUCUUAACUCUUGUCUUCACCUGCACUUGGACGACGGUAUGACUAUUGUUGACCUAGUUGUGCAUUAUGAGAAUUGCAUAGUCCGACUACGUGAGAACGAGGCGCAUGAUGACUGUGUUUCAAAUCAGUCAUUGCCACCAUCAGUCACAGAAUAUAAGGAUAUUGAGAAGCAUGCCGCCAAAGUAUUCACUCAUUCCAAUUUUUAUAUUCUUGAACAAGAUCUGAAGAAGAUGGGAGAGCUUGAGAUUUUUGAGACGCUAGUGGGAGUUGACUGCCACACCUUCAUCGUGACAUGGAGGAAUAACCGGAAAUUUGAGUUCAGCGUGAAUUAUCGAGCUGAAAACUCUGAGAAUAUGAUAGACUGCAGUUGUGGACGAAUGCUUCCGAAAGGAUUGCCUUGCAAACACAUUCUGUAUGUGUUGGUUCAUCUCAAAAUAUCUAAAAUACCUAAGUGUUGCAUCCUUAAGAGGAUGUCGAAAGUUGUGAGAGGUGGGCUGCCUGCACAGCGAAAGAGUGACUUGUUUGGCUGGGGUUGGACAGGGGCAGAUCAGCGUGCUCGCUAUAGUCAACUCAGUAUAACAGGAGCUGAAGCUUUUCAUGUUGCUUCAAAUGAUCCAUUCGUCUAUGAUGAGUUGAUGCAGUGUCUGCAGAAUAUAAUAGCAAAGAAAAAGGUCCCUGAUGAUGAUGCCAUUGGUAGUACAAGAAAUGUGCAUGAGGAGCCACGUCAGCCGGAACAACAUGUUGAUGUCAUAGGUGAUCCCGUGAAAGUUUCCACGAAGGGCGCCCCUAAACGGAGCAGGAUAGGGCGGGCAAAGAAAGAUCCAAAUGUUACAAAAAAUGGAAGACCAAUAUCAUUUUCUGAGAAAAAACCCGGUCCUCUUUGUGGCAUUUGUAAGAGAGAGGGCCAUAGACGGCAAACGUGCCCUGAGAAUGAAAGGAACCGGGCAUAA
rnacentral:rRNA from 1 species